GCAGAUACAAGCACAAAUUCAAUGUCGCUAAAAUCGUAAAUGAUGAAUCUGCAAACAAACUCACAAUAUCCAAGUUAAUAGCAUAAAACGACAUGCUUAAGCCUACAAAUAAAGUGACAAAAUAAAAGUAACCGAAAUACCAAUGUCUUCGGAUCUUCAUCGUUGAUGACCUUGUCAUUGAUUGAAUCAAUAUUUGAUCGAAGUUGAUCUGUCAAUCUGAACCAAACGAACGCCGCAAAAAAAAAAAAAGAAAGCAA
rnacentral:lncRNA from 1 species